rnacentral:lncRNA from 1 species
UGCCAUCUGAUUAGAAUCCAGGUCCAUUCGCCCUAGUACAUGUACCUGUUCGCCCUGAUACCCUUUUGCCCUGAUACCUGUUCGCACAGGGUUCAUUCGCACUGAUUUUUAUGUUUUUCUAAUUGUUGUCUAGUCACAUAAUUUAAAGUAUUUGAACAAAAUAUGUUGAAGUUUGUUGAAAAAUUGACAGAAUAUUUGUAUUGCCGCAAUCAAUUUAUCAUUUUCCCUUUGAUUUGCAGAGUAGAAUACUGGAAUACAAUGUAUUUAUCUUUAUUGAUAUUUGUUAACAAAAUAAUUGUAUUCAGUCA